GUGGCGAGCGUUGUCCGGAUUUACUGGGCGUAAAGAGCGCGCAGGCGGUCGUUCAAGUCGCGUGUGAAAGCCCCCGGCUCAACUGGGGAGGGUCACGCGAUACUGAUCGACUCGAAGGCAGGAGAGGGUAGUGGAAUUCCCGGUGUAGUGGUGAAAUGCGUAGAUAUCGGGAGGAACACCAGUGGCGAAGGCGACUACCUGGCCUGUUCUUGACGCUGAGGCGCGAAAGCUAGGGGAGCAAACGGGAUUAGAUACCCCGGUAGUCCUAGCCGUAAACGAUGGACACUAGGUGUUGGUGGUAUCAACCCCGCCAGUGCCGAAGCUAACGCAUUAAGUGUCCCGCCUGGGGAGUACGGCCGCAAGGCUA
rnacentral:rRNA from 1 species